UGGGGCAUGGGAACCACACAGGGCUUGGUUAUGGGGUGCCCAUGCAAGGAUGUGGACAACUCAGUGCCAACCCUGUGUGUCCCCCACCCCCUCGAGAACACCCCGAGUGAGCCCUGUGGGACCGGCUUUUCCACUGUGUUCCAGGAAGGCAUGUCCGUGGUCUGGGCCGCUUUGAUUUCAACGUUACAGAUUAGAGGUUAUAAACUGAUACAGAUGAAUAGUGUAGCCUGUGUUUCUCAUAAAAUACCCUUUUUUAAGAUAUGAAAUCUAAGGAAUAGACUUCCCGUGCCUUUUUAAGUGACUGUUCUCAUAUUUGGCCCUAGUUGUUUGCUUGGACAUUGUCAAAGUUGUUUUCUAAACAAGGCCCCAGAAGAAACAAAGCAGACACGUUAGGGCUGUAACUCAAUAGUGGUUUUUAAUUCAGAACAGAUCUCUGCAUGGAAGGGAUCCGUGAUGCCCUGAAGGGACCGUCUCUGCGAGUAACAAAGGGAAGAGAAACUGAGAAAGGGGAGUUAGCAGCAGACACUUGCAAGAGGCUUGUUCAGUUUAAGAAACCAAAGGAAACAGCUCUGAGCACGUUAAAGCUUCGCUUCACCUGCGUUUAUCCCCCCGAGUGCCGCAGUCCACGGCGUUCCAUUCUGUCCCUAAAAUGUCAGCUGUUGCCCAGUAGUGGAGAGGUCUCCAUGUCACCGGGCUCCUGGGCUUUGAAUUUGAGGCUGCCGCUGUCUGGACAGUGGUUUCAGUCCAUGAAAGCCGUGCUGCACGCUAGGGGGAUGCUUCUGGGGCUGUGUGGCCCGAGAACGGGCCAGCUGACCCCUAGUUGGCCGCUUCUGGGUCAUGAGGACCUGAGUCCUGCAUGGUGCCUGUUGCUAUCCACUUUAUCACAUUUUUGUUUAUUUUAUUUUAGAAGUCUAUUUUAAAUGCUUGCAUUUGGCAAGUGCACACCUUUAGCCUUAAAAAAACUAGAAGUACUAUUUUCUGCAUGAUUAUAGGGCAUUGGACAGUUAAUAGCAGAAGCAUGCUGGAAGUGAUAAAUGGGUGAAUGGCAGUGACCUGCAGGGAGUGGCCACCGGUCUGCAUGUGAUGAAGAUGGUCUUAAGAAUCACACGCAUGCAAUUUGAGGCCCGCGGGUGACUUUAGCUUCCCAAGGAGCUCUGCUGGGGAGGGGGAGGCCAGCUCAGCAACAGUGGCACAGGGCUGCCAUGCCACUGGGCAGCAGGUGCUCGGGCCAUGCUGAGGGUGGAGACUUGACACUGCUGUGUGUUGGCAUCCUCCCAUUCCGGAGGUGGAAAAACUGAGGCACAGGGAGGUGCAGGUCACGUAGCAGGAAGUUUUGGACCCCAAAUUUGGACUGGGCUGCGACCUGCAGCCUCUAGGACUUGACCCCUGAGGGUGUCAUUUGGGUGUUAGACCCGGGAGGGCCUCAGACAGGCCGGUGGUGGACACAUGGGGUGCACAGCUUGCAUUGCUUUGCCAUGAUUAUGCCAUCGUACAGGGCUUUUAAAGGUAUUCUUUAUGGUAGCCCAAACUUAGCUGUGGAAUAAAAGGAGAAACUGACUUGGCUUUAAGUGAGGUUUGUUUGGCAGUGUUUUAAUUGAAGAACAUUGGUUGGGUUUGUUUUGGAUACCCUCUGGCUUCGUGGACACUGACCUGACUUAUGCUUUCUUUCUGAAACCAUAUAUUUGAGUCCAUUUCUGGCUGUGUGUCCCUCUGGUAUACUGUGAGGCGGACCCUGCAGAACGGGGAACACUUAGGGGAAUUUCCGUUUGCUAACCCCUUUGCUGACAUUUCAGGCAUCUUCUUUAGCCACCUCUGUCUCUUACUGAUGUCUGAGAUCAUUUUCACAUGCUUUUAUGAAGGACGGUGUCCAGAAUUGGGUAACAGGAUGAAAGGACUUCUGAAGGCGCAGUCUUGAUCCCUGUAUCAUUUCCUCCCUUUACGUCAGAAUGAACUUUACAUCUGCCAGUGAGCAUGGUUGAGGGUGGGCAUUUCAUAACUGCCUGGGGUCCCGUGUCCCUCUGCCAUGUGCUGCUCACUGCGGAUCGCUCUGACCUCUGCCUCGUGGCCUGUGUGAGCGUAGGGCCCGCCCGGCAAGCACGGCUCCAUUGUGAGUGCGCCUCGCUGACAGGCUUGGGUGCAGUUGACACGUUAGCGCUGCAGUGGGAGGGGCCCACCUGACUGGCGGUCAUUUAAGGUCAAACUAAAAAGCAGGAAGCAGAAGGCACACUGUGACAUUUUCCCAGCCUGAAGAUGAUUUCCUCUCCUCUCUGGGGCCACACCGGUGGCGAUCCCUGGACUGGCAAGGACUGGUUGCCGGCCACGUAUCUCCUCCUUCUUGGUAGCCAGCUGGGAAGGCUGUUUGCUCUCUGAAAGUGGCGAGGAACCCCUGUUUGCUCAGAUCUUUUCCCUGGGGAAGUUUUAUGUAUUUUGAAGUGAGGAUGUUUGCUGUCGUGGAGUGAGCACUUGAUAAAUAGUUGUUUAAAACUGAAGUAACUGGACAAACUUGGAGUUUCCUAGAGAGAGUGGACUGUCCUGUCUUCUCAUGUGCCAGGAGGCCCAAGACCUGUGGUUAAGUCUGAUCAGAUCGCUUGAGCCAGCCUCAUGACAGUGGGCAGAGCACUUGGGCCCCUGGGCUGGUCAGACCAGCCCGUCCUCUACCAGCUAGCCUGUUCUGUUCCGUCUUCUGAUGGGAACUGAUCAGAAACACCCACAGCGUUCAGCGGUUGGGUCCCUUUGUGUCUCUCGUGUCUGUCGGUGUUGCCGUUGUUCCUGGAGAAACCUGAGGCGGAGCCCGUGUCUGCACAGACCUUCUGGAUGACGGUCCACACCCACAAGAUGAUGAACUCAGACGGUGGCGCUGAAAGCUUUUUGCAUCAGGACCUGUUUAUGUUCUCAAAUUAUCAAGGACCCCAAAGACCGCUUGUCUGUGUGAAUUAUAUCUAUUAAUACCUAUUGUAUUAGAAAUUAAAAGUGAGGAGUUUAAAAAAUAUUGAAUGUACUAUAAUGACAACAGUCUUGUAUUUAUUAAUGUGGCAUAUUUUUAUGAAAGAUAAUUUUUAAAAACUAAAACAUAAUAAUGAGAAGAGUGAUACAGUUACAUUUUUUGUCAAUCUCAAGGUUUGGCUCAAUAAAAGCAGCGGUUAGUUUCUGUGUUCAA